rnacentral:pre_miRNA from 1 species
CUAACGAAACUACGGGAAAUUUAGCAAACAUUGUUCAAACCGUAGGUUUUGAACUGGUUUGCUAAAUUUCUAUCUGGUAUCGCUAGGUAACAAU